CCUGAGUUCAAUCCUGAUAGCAAAAAAAAAAAAAAAAAAGUGGGGGGGUGUUGGUGCUGAGAAUUGGACCCAGGUCAUUAGGAAUUUCUACCUCUGAAGUACACCCUCAGCCCCUACAUCAUCUGUUUUGACCUGUCAUUUUGCAAAAGUGUGGUGUUUAUAGCUCUCUGAACUUCGAGGAAAUUUUCCAUAAAACAGUUCUAGAUCCUUAGGUAAUUUAUGUAGUAACUACUACUCAGAAAAGUGAUUUUUCAAGGCUAAGGAUAUUUGCUCAGUUGUGUGUAUUUCUUACUCCAAUCUAUUUAAUCUAUUUAAAUUAGUUAAUUUAAAUAGAUUAAAAAAUACAGUAAAACUGGGCAUGGUGGGGCACACCUGUAAUCCCAGUAGCUCUGGAGGCUGAGGCAGGAGGAUCUUGAAUUCAAAGCCAGCUUUAGCAAUUUAGUGAGGCCCUAAGCAACUCAUUGAGACCCUGUCUCUAAAUAAAAUAUUUAAAAAGGGUUGGGGAUGUGGCUUGGUGGUUAAGCGCCCCUGGGUUCAAUCCCUGGUACCAAAAAAAAAAAAAAAAGAAAGAAAGAAAAAGAAAAGAAAAAAGUACAGAAGGUGCUAAAUGAAAAAAAUUAAUAUUAAGUAUCAAAUUUCUUUUUGCAGUGGCUAUUAGCAAUACUGGUGGAUUUUAAGUGUCUCUGAAUUAUCUCAGUUUUGUUUUGGGCAAUUCUCAUUCCUAUUUAUAACAGAAUUAAAGGAUUCAAAAAUUGUUUAAAGGGGCUGGGGUUAUAGCUCAGUGGUAUAGCACUUGCCUAGCCUGUGUGAGGGUUUGAUUUUCAGCACCACAUAAUAAAU
rnacentral:lncRNA from 1 species